CCGGCCUUCCUUGGGGAGUAGCCUGCCGUCACCCGUUGACGGCGCGCUGGUCAACAUUCUUGGCAACCUGCCAUGGCCAGCGCAUCCAACCGGAUUGGUGAGACCAACGACAUUCCU
rnacentral:sRNA from 1 species